AUUGAACGCUGGCGGCAUGCUUUACACAUGCAAGUCGAACGGUAACAGGCCUUCGGGCGCUGACGAGUGGCGAACGGGUGAGUAAUGCAUCGGAACGUGCCCAGUCGUGGGGGAUAACGCAGCGAAAGCUGUGCUAAUACCGCAUACGAUCUGUGGAUGAAAGCGGGGGACCUUCGGGCCUCGCGCGAUUGGAGCGGCCGAUGUCAGAUUAGGUAGUUGGUGGGGUAAAGGCUCACCAAGCCAACGAUCUGUAGCUGGUCUGAGAGGAAGACCAGCCGCACUGAGACGGCGACACGGCCCAGACUCCUACGGGAGUCAGCAGUGGGGAAUUUUGGACAAUGGGCGCAAGCCUGAUCCAGCAAUGCCGCGUGCAGGAAGAAGGCCUUCGGGUUGUAAACUGCUUUUGUACGGAACGAAACGGUCCUGGUUAAUACCUGGGGCUAAUGACGGUACCGUAAGAAUAAGCACCGGCUAACUACGUGCCAGCCGCCGCGGUAAAAC
rnacentral:rRNA from 1 species